rnacentral:rRNA from 1 species
CCUACGGGUUGCUGCAGUUAGGAAUCUUGGACAAUGGGCGCAAGCCUGAUCCAGCCAUGCCGCGUGAGUGAUGAAGGCCUUAGGGUUGUAAAGCUCUUUCAGCGGGGAAGCGGUACCCGCAGAAGAAGCCCCGGCUAACUUCGUGCCAGCAGCCGCGGUAAUACGAAGGGGGCUAGCGUUGCUCGGAAUCACUGGGCGUAAAGCGCACGUAGGCGGAUUUUUAAGUCAGGGGUGAAAUCCUGGAGCUCAACUCCAGAACUGCCUUUGAUACUGGGAAUCUCGAGUCCGGGAGAGGUGAGUGGAACUCCGAGUGUAGAGGUGAAAUUCGUAGAUAUUCGGAAGAACACCAGUGGCGAAGGCGGCUCACUGGCCCGGACUGACGCUGAGGUGCGAAAGCGUGGGGAGCAAACAGGAUUAAUACCCCUGUAGUC